GCCUUAGGAAUUUGCCUGGUAGUGGGGGAUAACGUUCCGAAAGGAACGCUAAUACCGCGUACGUCCUACGGGAGAAAGCAGGGGACGUUCGGGCCUUGCGCUAUCAGAUGAGCCUAGGUCGGAUUAGCUAGUUGGUGAGGUAAUGGCUCACCAAGGCGACGAUCCGUAACUGGUCUGAGAGGAUGAUCAGUCACACUGGAACUGAGACACGGUCCAGACUCCUACGGGAGGCAGCAGUGGGGAAUAUUGGACAAUGGGCGAAAGCCUGAUCCAGCCAUGCCGCGUGUGUGAAGCAGGUCUUCGGAUUGUAAAGCAC
rnacentral:rRNA from 1 species